GUAAGUUGGUGCCUUGGCUUUGGCUGACUUGGGGGGAAUGCCUUAACUUUACCCCCCUUCCCUGAUACUGGAGAGGGCACACCAGUAAGAUGCAGAGUGGAGUGGAGGAGAGGUGAGCUGUCAUGCUGCAUUUCUCUACUUCUCCUCUGUCACCCCCAUCAUCUCUGCAGACCCCUCUGCUUGGCCUCAGCAUCCACAGCAGGCUUGAGCCACAAUGGGCAGGGCUGUCCUGCCUUGUACUUCUCAGGGCCCGUUUCCCCUCUCAGGGGUCCAGAGGGCAAAAGGGAUGGGGGAUGAACACCUGGGUUCUGAGGGGUUAGAAGGAGCCCCAGAACCAGAACUAGGCUUGCUCUCCAACUUACUCUUUUGGGGUUUUUGCCAUCUGCUAGCACAGCCUGUGGAGGGGGAGGAGGUGGUUCCUACAGGGGCCUUGUAGGCUGGUGAGAGGCCCUUUGCUCUUUAGUAGGUUUCCCCCAGCCAUCCAGCAAGAUGUAAGUAGAAAGGUCAGGGCUUACCUUCCUCCUGGGGCCUUUUGCUUUGAAGCCUAGGGUUGGUAACUGGAUAUUUCUAGAAGUGGCAGGACCAUAACCCAGGAAUCUGAGUUUGCCCUCAGCAGGAGCUUCUCUUCCUCCCUGAGCACCCUCAGUUGGCCACUGUCUCAAGGGAGCUGAGACCAGGAGGGUGCUGGGCACUCCCCUUCCUCUUUUCCAGGGUCCUCUGGAGCCCCCCGUUUCAAGGGGUUGGGGGCCCAUAGGCUUCCAGGGAAUGCUGUCCAGCCUGUAGGAAACCAAAGAUGGGAAGUGGCUCCUAGGGGAUUAACUCUCCUCUCUCCUUCCUGAUGCCACACAUACUCUACUUUCAUCUCCAGGGCCCUACCAAUCUGUUUACAUACUUAUUAUCCUAAUGCUCCCCCUCCCCAACAGGGUUGAGGGCCAGGGGAGGGCCAGAGUUCUACCCCAAUUGGUUCGUUGUGUGCUGCUUGUUCUAGAUCCUCCUGGGGAUGGGGAAGGGGCUAGGCCCAUUGUACCAGGCCUCCCCACAAUGAGCUCCAGGCUCCGGCCCCUGACCCUCCCUCUCCCUGUGGCUAGUGAGGUUCUCCUGUAAACCCACUCCUUGCUUUGUCUUCCCAGAUAUGGAUUUCAGUUAAGAAUUUUGUAACCUGUUACACUGUGUGUUCUUGUGUAAAUAAACUUUUUGUUUCUGGC
rnacentral:lncRNA from 1 species